AGUGAACGCUGGCGGUAGGCCUAACACAUGCAAGUCGAACGGCAGCACAGGAGAGCUUGCUCUCUGGGUGGCGAGUGGCGGACGGGUGAGGAAUACAUCGGAAUCUACUCUGUCGUGGGGGAUAACGUAGGGAAGCUUACGCUAAUACCGCAUACGACCUACGGGUGAAAGCAGGGGAUCUUCGGACCUUGCGCGAUUGAAUGAGCCGAUGUCGGAUUAGCUAGUUGGCGGGGCAAAGGCCCACCAAGGCGACGAUCCGUAGCUGGUCUGAGAGGAUGAUCAGCCACACUGGAACUGAGACACGGUCCAGACUCCUACGGGAGGCAGCAGUGGGGAAUAUUGGACAAUGGGCGCAAGCCUGAUCCAGCCAUACCGCGUGGGUGAAGAAGGCCUUCGGGUUGUAAAGCCCUUUUGUUGGGAAAGAAAUCCAGCUGGCUAAUACCCGGUUGGGAUGACGGUACCCAAAGAAUAAGCACCGGUUAACUUCGUGCCAGCCGCCGCGGUAA
rnacentral:rRNA from 1 species